rnacentral:rRNA from 1 species
GACGCUGAGGCACGAAAGCGUGGGGAGCAAACAGGAUUAGAUACCCUGGUAGUCCACGCCGUAAACGAUGAGUACUAAACGUUGGGUAAAACCAGUGUUGAAGUUAACACAUUAAGUACUCCGCCUGAGUAGUACGUACGCAAGUAUGAAACUUAAAGGAAUUGACGGGACUCCGCACAAGCGGUGGAUCAUGUUGUUUAAUUCGAAGGUACCCGAAAAACCUCACCAGGUCUUGACAUGCUUCUGCAAAGCUGUAGAAACACAGUGGAGGUUAUCAGUUGCACAGGUGGUGCAUGGUUGUCGUCAGCUCGUGUCGUGAGAUGUUGGGUUAAGUCCCGCAACGAGCGCAACCCUUAUUGUUAGUUACCAGCACGUAAUGGUGGGGACUUUAGCAAGACUGCCAGUGAUAAAUUGGAGGAAGGUGGGGACGACGUCAAAUCAUCAUGCCCCUUAUGACCUGGGCUACAAACGUGAUACAAUGGCUGUUACAAAGGGUAGCUGAAGCGCAAGUUUUUGGCGAAUCUCAAAAAAACAGUCUCAGUUCGGAUUGAAGUCUGCAACUCGACUUCAUGAAGUUGGAAUCGCUAGUAAUCGCGAAUCAGCAUGUCGCGGUGAAUACGUUCUCGGGGUUUGUACACACCGCCCGUCAAACCACGAAAGUUGGCAAUACCCAAAGCCGGCGGCCUAACUUCGCAAGAAGAGGGAACCGUCUAAGGUAGGGUCGAUGAUUGGGGUUAAGUCGUAACAAGGUAUCCCUACCGGAAGGUGGGGAUGGAUCACCUCCUUU